UGGGGAAUAUUGCACAAUGGGCGAAAGCCUGAUGCAGCAACGCCGCGUGAGUGAUGAAGGCCUUCGGGUUGUAAAGCUCUGUCUUUUGGGACGAUAAUGACGGUACCAAAGGAGGAAGCCACGGCUAACUACGUGCCAGCAGCCGCGGUAAUACGUAGGUGGCAAGCGUUGUCCGGAUUUACUGGGCGUAAAGGAUGCGUAGGCGGAUUUUUAAGUGAGAUGUGAAAUACCCGGGCUUAACUUGGGUGCUGCAUUUCAAACUGGGAAUCUAGAGUGCGGGAGAGGAGAAUGGAAUUCCUAGUGUAGCGGUGAAAUGCGUAGAGAUUAGGAAGAACACCAGUGGCGAAGGCGAUUCUCUGGACCGUAACUGACGCUGAGGCAUGAAAGCGUGGGUAGCAAACAGGAUUAGAUACCUGGUAGUCCACGCCGUAAACGAUGAGUACUAGGUGUAGGAGGUAUCGACCCCUUCUGUGCCGCAGUUAACACAAUAAGUACUCCGCCUGGGAAGUACGAUCGCAAGAUUAAAACUUAAAUGAAUUGACGGGGUCAUAGCUGUUUCCU
rnacentral:rRNA from 1 species